rnacentral:rRNA from 1 species
UACGAAGGGGACUAGCGUUGCUCGGAAUGACUGGGCGUAAAGGGCGCGUAGGCGGCUUGCACCGUCAGAUGUGAAAUUCCUGGGCUUAACCUGGGGGCUGCAUUUGAUACGUGUGGGCUUGAGUGCGGAAGAGGGUCGUGGAAUUCCCAGUGUAGAGGUGAAAUUCGUAGAUAUUGGGAAGAACACCGGUGGCGAAGGCGGCGACCUGGUCCGUGACUGACGCUGAGGCGCGAAAGCGUGGGGAGCAAACAGG